AGCAGCCGCGGUAAUUCCAGCUCCAAUAGCGUAUAUUAAAGUUGUUGCAGUUAAAAAGCUCGUAGUUGAAUUUCGGGAUCAAUAUGUUGGUCGUGCCUUGGUACGUACUGGCAUUAUCGAUUCCUACCUUCUGAAGAACCUCGAUGUCAUUAAUUUGGUGUCUUGGGGAAUCAGGACUGUUACUUUGAAAAAAUUAGAGUGUUUAAAGCAGGCUCGCGCUUGAAUACAUUAGCAUGGAAUAAUGAAAUAGGACGUUUGAUUCUAUUUUGUUGGUUUCUAGGAUCGACGUAAUGAUUAAUAGGGAUAGUUGGGGGCAUUAGUAUUCAAUUGUCAGAGGUGAAAUUCUUGGAUUUAUUGAAGACUAACUACUGCGAAAGCAUUUGCCAAGGAUGUUUUCAUUAAUCAAGAACGAAAGUUAGGGGAUCGAAGACGAUCAGAUACCGUCGUAGUCUUAACCAUAAACUAUGCCGACUAGGGAUCGGAUGAUGUAAUUUUUAAUGA
rnacentral:rRNA from 1 species